CAUUGGCACAUCUUCUCCCCGCAAGGGCUGAGGUAAAAAAGCUACCCAUUUUAAAAACACUUCCUUCCCCCAGGUCCAAGCCUGAUGCCAUUUACGCUUGCAGCAAACUCAAGAGGUGAGUAUCUGGAAGUCCAUUUCACAGUGGAGUAAACUGAGGUUGGGAGCAGGGAAGUCACGGGCUGAGACACCGGAGGCACUGGAGCCCCCCGUCUAGAGCCAGGCUGCCUGCGUGUGAAUCCUGGAUAUGCAGUGUGUGAGAGCCUGCAAGUGGUUUUUAAAAAUGUGUAUUUAAAAUUUUUUUUAAAAUUUUCUAUUUUAUAAAUAAUAUUUUCCUUUUUUUUUUUUUUUUGAGAUGGAGUUUUGCUCUUGUCACCCAGGCUGGAGUGCAAUGGUGCGAUCUUGGGCCACUGCAACCUCCGCCUCCUGGCUUCAAGCGAUUCUCCUGCCUCAGCCUCCUGAGUAGCUGGGAUUACAAGUUCACACCACCAUGCCCAGCUAAUUUUUAUAUUUUUGGUAGAGAUGGGGUUUUGCCAUGUUGGCCUGGCUGGUGUCGAACUCCUGACCUCAGGUGAGCCACCUGCCAGUGUUCCAGAGUGCUGGGAUUACUAUAGGCAUGAGCCACCGUGCCUGACCUGUGUGGUGUGUUUUCAUCUUCUGUGUUCUGCAUUCUCACAUACAUUGUACUCAUGCUGUUACUGAAUUGUGCACCAGGCAUCUGUAGCACUUUUCAGAAAUUAUCAUAUACUCAACGACAAGCUUGCCAGAUCCAUGUUAUUAUUAACCCCUCUUACAGUUGACGGAACUGAGGCCCGGGGGGAUGAUCACAUACAGGAGGUGGUGAAGCCAGGGUUUGGCUACAGGCUUUCUGCCUGCAGAGUUAUAAACCGUAUUCUCCUCCCUACAAACUUAUAUAAGGACAUUAAAAAAAAAAUCAAAACCAUGUGCAUCAAUUUACCUUUUGUCACCUAAUAUUUCAUGGGCAUCUCGCCAGGGCAGUACAUCUAAUUCUAAUUUAUUCUUUGUAAUAGUUGCACAAUAUGCUAUAGUAUCAGUUCAGCAUUGUGGAUCUUUUAGUUUUUGAAGGUGUUCCAGUAUUUUCCCCACACUACGCAAAAUAUUUUCAGACAUAGAUCCCUAUGCACUGGUGCAUUUAUAAGUAAAUUAUAAACACAGAGUUAUUAGGUCAAUGAGUAUACAUAUUUAAUUAAUGUUACCAGAUCAUUUUCCCCAAAAAGCCAUUAAUAAUUCAUAUUUUUCACCAGUAAUGUUUUGGAGCCUCCUCACCCCGACCCCAGAAGUGGGUGUUAUCACUUCUUUUUUUUUUUUUUUUUUUGAGUCAGAGUCUCGCUCUGUCACUCAGGCUGGAAUGCAGUGGCACGAUCUUGUCUCACUGUAAACCUCCACCUCCUGGGUUCAAGCCAUUCUCCUGCCUCAGCCUCCCAGGUAGCUGGGAUUACAGGCAUGUGCCACCACACCCGGCUAAUUUUUGUAUUUGUAGUAGAGAUGGGGUUUCGCCAUGUUGGCCAAGCUGAUCUCAAACUCCUGAGCUCAGGUGAUCCACCCACCUCAGCCUCCCAAAGUGCUGGGAUUACAGGCAUGAGCCACCUUGCCUGGCCAGUGUUAUCACUUCCUAAAUUUAUAAGUAUAAAGUGACAGCUCCUUUGGCAUUUUUAUACCCACUCAGGAGACUGGGUAUUUUUCUGUAUUUGCUGUCUAUAUUUGGGCUUGCUCUUUUGUCAAUUACCUAUUCAUAUCCAUUGCCCAUUAAAAAAAAUUGGGUUGUUUGCCUUUCUGUUAUUAUUUGCAAAAUGAACAAAAGAAUUCCAUAAUUGGGAUUUUUGACUUCUUGGGUGUGUACAUUUUGUGUAUUUCAGUUUUUUUAGAAGCAUUAAAGAAUAAUGUAAUAUAAAAAGUGUGUAAACACAUUUUUUAUAGAGUUGAUAGACUUAAUAGAGUAGUGAGCUUAUGAAUUUUCAUGAAGUGAAUCCACCUGUGUAUCCAGUGCCUGGAUUAAGAAGUAGAGCUACACUUAAAAUUUUAAUAGGAAUUGGUAAAUACAAUACCAAAAAGAUUUUAGUAUUUAUUUUUCCCACAAUGUGAUCAGUUUUUAAAUGUUUUACUAAUCCAAAGAACAAGAUCUCAUUAUUGCUUUAUUUGCAUUUCCUUGAACAUUAGAGAGGUGAUUAUCUUUUUACAUAUUUACGGCUAUCAGCAUCCAUCUUCAAACUGUGUGUUCAUCUCUUCUGAUCAUUUUCUUGUUGAGUUGUAUAUGGGGGAUUUAACCCUAUGUCUUAUCAAAUGUGCUAUAAACCUUUUCCUGUAAUCUGUUAAAAAAUAUCUAGGUUUUUCUUUUAUGGUUUCUGUGUUUCCUGUCUUGCCUUAAGAGGGACUUUUCACACUAAGAUUGUAAAACUUUUUCUAUUUAAAAAAGAUUAUUUUGUGUUUUACUUUUAGAUCUUUAUCUCGGCUAAAAUGUAUACUUGCAUGUGGUGUGAGGUAGGGGUCUGAUCUUGUUUCCAGAUGCCUAGCCGUUUGCCCAGGUUCUGUUUAUUAUAUAGGUAGACCUGGUUUUAAAUUUCCAUUCUGCCCCUUAUUAGCUACAUGAUCUUGGGAAAUUGGAUAGCAAUUGACACAGUCGACCACUUCCUCCUUCUCAAAAUACUUAUUUCCCUUAGCUUUUGUGAUGUAAGACUGCCUUGAUUUUCCUUCUGCUUCUCUGGCUGGUCUUUUUUUUCUCUCUCUCUCUUUUUCAGAGUAAUUCUUCCCUCCUGGACCCUCAAACCAUAUAUUUUGUGCUGAGUGAUCUUAUCCACAUAAUGGCUUCAGCCACAGUCAAAAUGCAGAGGAUUCCUGUAUUUCAAUGUCUACUCUGGAGCUCUCAGUUGCGUUCUGGAUCUGUGUAUCCACCUGGCCACUUGACGCCUCCACUUGGAUGUCCCACAGGCAUCUCCAAUGCAAAAUGACUCAUGACCUUCUCCUCCCCAUCAGCACUCUCACAGGAGUUCCUGUCUAAGGAAAUGGUAUCACCAUCUUCCCAUUACAAAAGCCAUACAUUUGAGCACCAUCCUUGACUAAUUCCUGUUCCUUCCUCUGUUGUACCCAGUACCCAAAAGAAUGCCCAGCACAUGGUAGGUGCUCACUAAAUAGCUACUUGAUUGAAUGGAUAUGCAACCCACCACCAAGGAAUGCCACUGUGAUGAAUUAGAACUCUUCUAUCUAAUUCCAUUCUCUGCACCCUGGUCCAGACACCACCUCCUUUCACCUGGAUUUUGCCCUGCCUCUUCAGUGACCUCCCAGGAUGCACUCUGGCCUCUGUGAAGCCAAAGCUCUGCUCAGAUCUUUUCUAAAGUCACCCUCAAAAAUGAGUCACAUUUUUCAGUGGCAUCUCGUGAUUCCUAUAAUGAGGCCCAAGCUCCUCCCCAUGGCCAACAGCAUGGGCUGCCUACAGUAUGGGCUGCCCCCAUCCCAGCCUCACCUUGCUUACUCCCAAAAGCCUCUUUCUGACUCCUGCAGCCACUGUCUCCUUCUUGCUGCCCUUGAACAUGCUUUGACUACCCUGUUCCCUUGGGGACUUCAGACACACCGGGUAUAAGUUUUAAAUAGAGGAACCUGGAACGAAUUCAGGAACUUUGUACCUUAGCUUUAAGACAACAAAACACCAAGCCAGCCUUUUGUAAAAAGACAGGACUAUUUACACAUCACAUUCCUUUUUUUAAUUUUUAUUUUCUUUUUUCCCUUUCUUUUGCCUGUUCUUUCGUUUGAGGCACAGAUCCCUUAAAGACACUAAGAAUAUAAACAUUAGCCAGCUGGAGUGAAGCCUUCCAUUGUGAGAGUUUUAUUUAGUCUGUAUCUUUAAAAAAAUGUAUUUACUUAUUUAUUUUUUGAGACAGUUUCACUCUGUUGCCCAGGCUGGAGUGCAGUGGCACAAUCUUGGCUCACUGCAACCUCCGCCUCUUGGGUUCAAGCAAUUCUUUUGCCUCAGCUUCCCGAGUAGCUGGGAUGACAGGUGCCCACCACCAUGCUCAGUUAGUUUUUGUAUUUUUUUUUUUUUUUUUUUAGUAGAGAUGGGGGGGGGGGGUUUCACUAUGUUGGCCAGGCUGGUCUCGAACUCCUGACCUCAGGUGAUCUGCCUGCCUCGGCCUCCCAAAAUGCUGGGAUUACAGGUGUGAGCCAUAUUUACUUACUUAUUUUUACAUACAGGUGUGAGCCAUAUUUACUUAUUUUUACAUACAGGUGUGAGCCAUAUUAUUUUUACAUACAGGUGUGAGCCGUAUUUACUUACUUAUUUUUACAUACAGGUGUGAGCCAUAUUUACUUAUUUUUACAUACAGGUGUGAGCCAUAUUUAUUUUUACAUACAGGUGUGAGCCAUAUUUACUUAUUUUUACAUACAAUACAAACACUUUAAAUAAAGUUGAAGAUUAUUUCCAUGGACCAGGUGGUCAAGCCGAACACCCAGGAUCCAGCUGUCAAGUUCAGGGUAGCCCCUGAGCUUCUCACUCUGACUCCAACAGGGUGAGCUUGCUAUCCUUGUGGCACAGGGCCUUUUGCAUUGUGGAUGAUGGAGCGGCUCGUAUAGUCCCUAAGUUUUGUGCGUAGCUGUGUACCCUGUCCCUGUGAGCUGGUUCUGCCCGGCACCUCGGUGACCUCGAGGAAAGAAGCUGAGAGACAGAGUCUUGCUUUGUCACCCAGGCUGGAGGACAGUGGCACCAUCAUAGCUCACUGCGGACUCGAAUUCCUGGGCUCAAGGGAUCCUCCUGCCUCGGCCUCCAAAAAUGAUAGGGUCUCACUGUGUUGCCCAGGCCGGCCUCUAACUUCAGGAGUUCAACAGUUUCUCCUGCUUCAGCUUCCCGGGUAGCCAGGACAGGUGUGUGCCACCAGGCUAAUCUUCAGUUACGUGUUUUCUUUGAUCUAUCAUUGCAUGUUUUGCUAGCCUCCCAUGGCUGGAUUGAAUCUUGAAUACCUCCCAUGAUCUUAUCACACCCAUCUUAACUAGAAUAUUUCCAUUCAACAUUGUGGCCACAAAUUUUCCAAUCUUUUGAAAUGAGGUCAAAGCUCUUCAUUUGAAUUUGCUUAUUAGUGUUUACCUAUAUUGAAAAAAACUACAUCAUUAAUUGCAUCCUUAUAAGUGGAAAGAGAGCUUUAGAGAUACUUGGAAAGAUCAGAAUGUAGAAUCAUAGAUAUUUACACUUUGUUCUCAGUAUUUUACAGCUGAAUGGUAAAAAUUUAAUUUGACAGCAAAAAGUUUUGUGAGAGCUCAGUUUAGUUUUUUUUUUUUUUUUGACGAAGUCUUACUCAUUCUGUUGCCCAGGCUGGAGUGCAGUGGCAUGAUCUUGGCUCACUGCAGGCUACACCUGCUGGGUUUAAGUGAUUCUCCCGCCUCAGCCUCCCGAGUAGCUAGGAUUACAGGUGCCCGCCACCACGCCCGGCUAAUUUUUGUAUUUUUAGUAGAGACAGGGUUUCACCAUGUUGGCCAGGCUGAUCUCAAACUCCUGACCUCAAGUGAUUGGCCUGCCUCAGCCUUCCAAAGCACUGGCAUUACAGGCGUGAGCCACCAUACCCAGCCCAAUUUAGUUUUUAUAUAAAGGUGGCAUAAAUGGUAACACCAUCUUUCAACCUUGAACUUUCCAAACGCAAUCAAUAGGACUUGCAGAAGUAACAGGGAAUAUUAACUAAACUAAGGCUGUGCUACACCAUGUGGUUUAACUUUAGAUUAAUUGAAAUUAAAUAACAUGAAAAAUUCAGUUCCUCAGCUGCACUGUUCACAUCUCAUGUGCUCAAUUGCCAUAUUGUCUAGUGGUUACAACAUUAGACAUCUCAGAUACAGAACAUUCUGAUCAUUGCAGAAAGUUCCAUUGGACAGCUAAUUAGAGUCCCUUAUAUGAAGUUCACCUCAGGAGGCUCAUACUGGAAUUAAGAGGCAUUUCAAUUAUUCUCCAAUUCCAUCUUGUACUGCAUCAAUGUGCCUUGGCAAGGAUCUCCUCCACUCGCUCCCUAUGUAUCCAGGGAUCCCCUGGAGUUUUAGUGUCUGCUGUGACAUUCUGGAGAUGCCUCCUGAUGAAUUGGAAAAAUACUGACAUGGGUGAGGUCUGGUGGUCAAGAAUUGUUGGAUGCUUGCCAGCCCAUGAAUACACAAUGGAUACAGAGAGAGACGAGGAGGAGUCAGGAAUCAAAGGCAAUGAAAUAUUUCCACUUAGGGCUGCAAGCCCGUCCAGGCAAGUCCUCCCUUUGAGCUGGAAUUCUUUUUACAUCUACACAGCCACAGAAGACAGAAAUGGAGCCCAUUACGUCAUUUCUCAACUUGCUAUUCCUCCAGCAUAUUCCUUGCAUAAGACUCCCUGUAGGAUCUCACCGAAGGAGGACACAAAUUCCUGAAACCUUUGACCUGACCCUCUUCUCUCCCCAUACACCCCAGUCACUCACUUUUGGUCAUGUGCACACUCUUUGUCUUAGGCUUCAGAGUCCCAAAGGCUGUUAUUUUCUUCCUUUCUGGACAAUAAGGUAGAAAAAUUUGAAUAUAUGUGAAGAUCUCCAAGGAUUUGAUCCAAAUGACCAAAAGUACAUCUGAAUAUGAGAACUUUGACUUUUCU